rnacentral:rRNA from 1 species
GUCUACGAAGAACAGCAAUGUUCCUUCCGCAGAGUACACUUGCCGAAGCCUUAGUGGCCCGAAAGGGUUUCACCAGCGACUCUAAACAAGUAGGUGGAUUAAAUGCUAGUCUCUUUGGAAGAGGCGACACUAUCAAAUUGCGGGAAGAUCCUGUCAGGUCCACAUCACCGCGGCUCACCGAAAGGUGUAGUGCAGCACCAGGCUAACAACCUUGGGUAUGGUAAUAGUAUGUGGAAUAGGGAGAAUCUGCAGCCAAGCCCCUCUCUUGGGGUGCAGUUCACAGGCCAAAUGGUAGUGGGCACUCUGGUGCUUAAGAUAUGGUCGAGUCCCAAUUGAAAAGUUGGGUACAAGUACUCUGAUUGAUUACAUACAAUCUAUGCUGGUUGUAAAUGCAAAUGUUCCGUAGGUGAACCUGC